rnacentral:rRNA from 1 species
UACGUAGGGUGCGAGCGUUGCCCGGAUUUAUUGGGCGUAAAGGGCGCGUAGGCGGCCACGCACGUCCGUUGUGAAAUCGCCCGGCUCAACUGGGCGGGGUCAGCGGAUACGGUGUGGCUCGAGCAAGCUAGGGGGCAAUGGAAUUCCCGGUGUAGUGGUGGAAUGCGUAGAUAUCGGGAGGAACACCAGUGGCGAAGGCGGUUGCCUGGAGCUU